UACGUAGGGGCGAGCGUUAUCCAGAAUUAUUGGGCGUAAAGAGUGCGUAGGUGGUCUUGUAAGCGUGGGUAAAAGGCUAUGGCUUAACCAUAGUAAGCCUUGCGAACUGUGAGACUUGAGUGCAGGAGAGGAAAGUGGAAUUCCUAGUGUAGCGGUGAAAUGCGUAGAUAUUAGGAGGAACACCAGUGGCGAAGGCGACUUUCUGGACUGUAACUGACACUGAGGCACGAAAGCGUGGGUAGCAAACAGGAUUAGAUACCCCCGUAGUCCCUGA
rnacentral:rRNA from 1 species